AGCGAACGCUGGCGGCAGGCCUAACACAUGCAAGUCGAACGGAUCCUUCGGGAUUAGUGGCGGACGGGUGAGUAACACGUGGGAACGUGCCCUUUGGUUCGGAACAACUCAGGGAAACUUGAGCUAAUACCGGAUGUGCCCUUCGGGGGAAAGAUUUAUCGCCAUUGGAGCGGCCCGCGUCUGAUUAGCUAGUUGGUGAGGUAAAGGCUCACCAAGGCGACGAUCAGUAGCUGGUCUGAGAGGAUGAUCAGCCACAUUGGGACUGAGACACGGCCCAAACUCCUACGGGAGGCAGCAGUAAGGAAUCUUCCACAAUGGGCGAAAGCCUGAUGGAGCAACGCCGCGUGCAGGAUGAAGGCCUUCGGGUCGUAAACUGCUUUUAUAAGUGAGGAAUAUGACGGUAACUUAUGAAUAAGGAUCGGCUGACUCCGUGCCAGCCGCCGCAGUAAUAC
rnacentral:rRNA from 1 species